UCGCGUGGGAAAAGAAUUGUGUUGGCACAGCGGAUCCAAACUCUCUGCACUGUGGACAUGCUUGAUUUGCCUUUGCGCCUAUUCGUCUCCCAGGCUCAGGGGUGAUUUGGUCUUGGCUGCAACAUGGUUUCGGGCUCUCGGAUGGGGUUGCCAUUGCCUUCUUUUGGCUUUGGUUUGUUCUCCCAGCUCUCGCAGUGCCUGGGUCCAGCUGGCUUGCGGGAGGCGUUGGCGGCUCUUUCUCUUGCUUUUCAUUUGGGAGCUGGGUGAGCUGCGUUUUCUUUGCCCUUGGUUUCUUUUUGCUUGCAGAGGCUCCAGUUGCAGGCUUGGGAAUCCAGGAGGCCAAUUUUUUUUACCUGUCUGUCUUUGUUUUGGCUAUAGCUGGGUUUAAUUUUGGUUGGUUGUGAGUCUUGGCUCAGACUCGCGGGGGCGUUGGCGGCUUUUUUAGUCUGCAGAGGCUCCAGUUGCAGGCUUGGAAUUCCAGAGGAGGUUUUUUUUUUUGCUCCGUCUGCCUUUGUUCUGGCUGUGGCUGGGUUUGGUUUGAUUGGUUGUGAGUCUUGGCUCAGAAAAAGAUGGCGCGCGACGAUGACUUUGCAUUUAAUGUACACUGGACUGGGUACUUGGUCCUUAGGGGUGUUGCUGCUUAUUGUAUCGGAUUGGACGUUUUCUAGAGGUGUAGACAUUUAGUUAGGGGAUUUUAGUUCAUCUAGCCUCUCUUUGGGUCUCUAAUGCUGUUGAAUUGUAUAAGGAAUAUUUGGGUUUGUUGGGGCUGUUUGGCUACUCUGUUGAGAAGCUACUUUUCCAGGUACUUUUGUUCUUCAUUUCCCCCUGAAAUUAACCUUGGAUUUAAUGAUUAACAUUAUUCUGUUGUUAGGCCUUGAGUUGUCUGUUGUCUUUAGAGUGUUGACAUAUGCUUUUAUUUGUGGAUUGCUUGCUGCAUUAGGAGUGAUGGAUUGAUGAACAAAUUUUUACAGGGUCCUUUUGCUUUAAAAAAAAACAGGCUCUAGGCUUCUCAGGGUUUUUUCGUUGCUGUUCUUAUCAUGGGGUUAUGCAUGCCUGUCGUGGCCCUGUGGUGAGAGCAGGCGCCAGUUUUGAGCAGGUUCUUUGUUGAAAAAAAAAAAAUGGCCCAUUGUGGCCCUCCAUGCUUGUUUGUGUUCUCAACAAAGCCAUACUCUACUGCAAUUACUCAAUAUAACUGAUUCCUUCUUUAAUUUGCUGAUUGACUCAGACUGGCCUCCUCUUUUAUUGAUUUUUAUGUUGUUCACACAUUUCUUCUUGCCUUCAAAUAUACUUGCAUUUGAUAUGCUGCUUCUGACUAAUUCAUGAGCCUUACUGACUGCUCUCUGGAUGCCUCAUUUCCCGCCUCUCACCCUCACUACAAUGUUAGUUUGCAAUCACCACAUUCCAAUAUACAUUGUGCUGAACCCAAUGAUGUUCAGCUUGCAAGGCCAAUAGCUUUUGCAGUGUAUCACUUGACAGAUCACUUCACCAUUUCUGAGCUUCACAACUGCUUGGAAAAAAUAGAUUUAGCUUGCAGUAUCUAGCAAUUCACUUGCAACACUUUUACUUUUCAAAUGACUUCCUGCAUCCGCCACAUGCUCAAUUUAACAGUGAUCGACUUGCUCUUUCUUUCCUCUUAAUAAUUUACGUUGUUGGGAUUGGGAAGGACCACUUGAAAUUCUAUAAGGUGCAUGCAGCCAUUUUCUGUUUGCACGUUCUUUUGUUUAUUACUGCCCAUCUCAUCUAUUUUGUUGUUUUGACCCUUCAUGUAUAUCGUCAAUCAUAUGAUACCUACCACUUUGUCUGCUUCCUUUACUAUGUGCUGAACACAAUUUUCAAUAAUCUCUUGCAUCAAGAAGAAAAAUUAUGAAAUUCAAAAUCUUAGGUCGAAUGGAGGUCCUUAUUGUGUGUGGCUAUGAAGAGCAAGAUAUUUCUCGUAAAAAAAAAACUGUCUUUAAAGAUAUUUCUUGUUGCUUCUAAAAUUAUUGUUAGUUGGGGUUUUGAAAUGGUAGGUUUUAUAAAAUACGUGUGUGCGGUUAAUAUUAUUGAGAUAGAUUUUUUAAUGUAAAAUAAAUAAAUAAAAAUAUUAUUUUAAUUUCUAUGUAAUCAAAGUUCAAAAUACAAUUAUAUAUAGGAUAUAAUGCUAAGAACAGAAAUUAAGUGGUUGACUAAAUAAUUUUUUAUUUGGUUUUAAAACAAAAGCCACAGCAAGAUCUCUAAUAUACGAGUAUGAAUAGUGCAAUAUGUUUUUUCUCACAUAUAGUGCGGUGAAUUUCUUUGUAUAUAAAAGAAAUUUGAUUACUUUAAUUUAUUAUAAUCAUAACGUGGCACUCAUUCUUUAAAAACUAGAAACUAAUUUCUUGCAGUAAUUAUAAUUUAGAAGUAAAAAGGAAAAGUUUACAUUUUAAAUUUGAAAUUUGUGGCCAAAGUCAGUGGAACGGUUGCCAGCUGACCAGAGGUAAAUCUGAACUUGAAGAUGGUCGUAGUUGUAAACCAGCACAAAAAUCUUUUAAUUCUGACCACUUCCAGUCGCCCAUACCUGGCAGGCCGUUACUUCGCCCUUAAUAGGCCACAUCAGCCAAAUGGCCCAAAUCCAAAUCGUUCCCCUCCUCUCCCCGAGCAAAAUCUAUUAUGGGAUUUGCUUUGUAGCGGCCAGUCGUAUUUUAAAGUAUUUUUUUAAAAUUAUUUUAAUAUUAACAUAUAAAAAUAAUUCAAAAACACCAUAAAAAAUAAUAAUUUUAAGAAAAAAAAAAUCAAAAUUUGAAACCCUGUGAUACAAACCUCUCCUUCCUUUUUUAACUUUUCAGUUCUGGACACCAGCAAGUUCAAUGAACGAAAACUCCAAGGUUGAAAGGAUUUCCUGUCUCUCUAUUAAAAUAAAAUCUCCCAAAUUGUCUCCACACUACAGUUCGAACACUUUCAAAAAAAGAUAGUGCUGCCAUGACUUUGAGCUAUCAAAUGAUUACUAUGUUGUCACAAGAGUCAAUGCAUCUCCGCCCAAACACUUGUUGUGUUUCAUGUGCAUCACAUUAUUAUUUUGUUGUGGCCGUGAUUUAAUUGUCUCCGAUCAAUCCACAUAAAGUCAUGUUCUUUGGAGCAUGAUUUGCCAUGUAAGAGAUUAAAGCAGGAAACAAAAAAAUAAUAAUCCAAAACAUGAAUUGAUAUAGUUGACCCGAGCAACUUUGUCAGAGAGUCUUGUUUUUUUUUUUCUUUUCAAAACAACAUUGUUUGAAGUUGGCUCAUGUCGACCUGAUUAAUCCAACUAACCUAUUAACUUUUCAUUGCUUGUAACUCACACAACUAAUGUCCAAAAUGGAGGUGUGAGCCAGUGAAUACUCAGGCAAUUCCAGAUCGACAUGAUCUCUUAGGAAACCAACUUCAGCACUUAAUUAAAUCAUUUCAGGAAACGCGCGACGCCUAAUUUGUUGAGCAAAUGAAUUGUUGAGCUAGAGUCCAAUUUCGGAUAACUGGAGACAUCUCUGCGCAGGCAUUGCAACCCUAUAGCUAGCUAGCAUGGGAGGAUCAUGCAAUUUACAACUUACAAGUAUUUUUCAUAGGAAACAUUUGCAUGCAGCUACAACAAGAGAUCCAAGAGGAUAUUUCAGUUCCAAAUUAACGCGUAUACUUCCAAGAAAAACACAACUCACAGGAUCCGCUGUUGCUCAUACCAAACCAUCAAUCAUGAAUCAGCCAACCAAACCCGUUUCAUAUGAACUCGUUUGAGCGUUCGGGGCUAGCUCUUGUUACUGUACAAAUAGAUUGAUUAUCUCCACCACAUAUAUUUUAAAAUAUUUUCGGACCUAAUUAUGCUAUAUCUUGAACUGGCGUUGACAGGAACAACUCCAAUAGCAUGCUGGCUGUUCUCGAAGUGGGAUAUGAAACUCAAACGUGUGGCACGUGUAUAAUGCGAAACAUGAAGCAUAGUAGCAAAAUAAACAAGAGCUAGAAAUCUUCCCCUCUCCAACAACAAGAGAUACUUGCAGAGGCAUGCUUCCUCUCCCUCUCUUAUAUUUUUUUUUUUUCUUGUUUUUGAGCAGAUAAGGUGCUCCUGCACCUAACCAAUUGUUAAUUAGCACAAGUGUAUGGUGUGAUCAAAGAUGAGAAUAUUGUUCUCUUCUUCUUAUAUCCAAUUCUUAAUUAAUUCCCUGUAUA